rnacentral:lncRNA from 1 species
CUUCAAUAUAGGUUUUGAAUACUUAUGCUACCUAAGCAGUUAACCUUUAUCUCCGCUAAUUGAGAGAUGGCUGCAUUGAAAAGUAAUGUGUCACUUUAAAACGCAUUCUAAAUUUUAAACAACUCUAGCAGCAAAGGACAUGGUUUUGAUAAUGGUUGUUAAAAGCUGUCUGACUUAUUCCAGACAGUCUUAAUAAUGAGAACUAUGUGAUCUGAAAUACUGAACUUCUGGAAUUACAAUAACUUCUGUUAAUAUGUGUGAUACAGAUUCCUGGAAACUUGAGGAGCAGUCUUCCAGCAGCCAAGGAAUGCAGUUCCCCCCGGAUGUGUGGGUAUCUUGCAGAAAUCGAACAGAAGUGGGACAGACCAGUAGUAAGAACAACUGUUGUUUAAUACAGAUGAGCAAUUCGAUCUUCUUGGGUUGCUCACAUACCAUAGUGAUGAGUCUCAGAGAAAUACCAACAAAGAAGUUUUAAGUUCACUGCCUAUUUAGGAGAAUACAAAGUAUGUUCAGGCACAAUGUCAAGAGAUUCAGCAAUACUUUGGAGUGAAUUGGCAGGAACCCUUGCAAUACAACUUUGGCAAUAAUAGUGGCUGUCCUCUGGAGAUGCUGAAGCUAAGCUUUCUUGUGAACUUUCUUCUUGCACCUCCCCACGUGUGCACAAAGGACUUAACAUUGUUUAGAAUUCAUAUGGUAUAAAAUAAUCAUGGAUAUGCUUUUUUCUUCCUUGACUUGAUGUCUGCAUGUUUCCUGUAGUCAGCAAUGAAAUCUGUCCUAGGUCUGCUGACAUUUGAUCUGUUUUCAAAAGCUCUGAGUGACAGGUACUGUAAACAUCCUACACUCUCAGCUGUGGAAAAUAAGAAAGCUGGGAGAAGGCUGUUUACUCUCCCUGCCUUGGAAAUCAUCUGGAUGGACAAGGAUGGAAUAUUCUAAGCUCCAUGUUGAUUGUAUUUCUGACAACCUGUAUUUCAUAUUUUACAUUAUGAUGUCAGUAAGCACAUAAUAACAUAUCAUGCCAUCAAUGUCUGAUAUUCUGACUGAGACUCUAAUCCAUAAUAAAAGGAUUGUACUUAUAAACA